rnacentral:rRNA from 1 species
AUUGAACGCUGGCGGCAUGAUUUACACAUGCAAGUCGAACGGUAACAGGCCGCCAGGUGCUGACGAGUGACGAACGGGUGAGUAAUGCAUCGGAACGUGCCCAGUCGUGGGGGAUAACUACUCGAAAGAGUAGCUAAUACCGCAUACGAUCUAUGGAUGAAAGCGGGGGACCGUAAGGCCUCGCGCGAUUGGAGCGGCCGAUGUCAGAUUAGGUAGUUGGUGGGGUAAAGGCUCACCAAGCCAACGAUCUGUAGCUGGUCUGAGAGGACGACCAGCCACACUGGGACUGAGACACGGCCCAGACUCCUACGGGAGGCAGCAGUGGGGAAUUUUGGACAAUGGGCGCAAGCCUGAUCCAGCAAUGCCGCGUGCAGGAAGAAGGCCUUCGGGUUGUAAACUGCUUUUGUACGGAACGAAACGGCUCUGGUUAAUACCCGGGGCUAAUGACGGUACCGUAAGAAUAAGCACCGGCUAACUACGUG